rnacentral:rRNA from 1 species
CCUACGGGGGGCAGCAGUGAGGAAUAUUGGUCAAUGGGCGCGAGCCUGAACCAGCCAAGUAGCGUGAAGGAUGACUGCCCUACGGGUUGUAAACUUCUUUUAUAAAGGAAUAAAGUGAGGCACGUGUGCCUUUUUGUAUGUACUUUAUGAAUAAGGAUCGGCUAACUCCGUGCCAGCAGCCGCGGUAAUACGGAGGAUCCGAGCGUUAUCCGGAUUUAUUGGGUUUAACGGGAGCGUAGAUGGGUUGGUAAGUCAGUUGUGAAAGUUUGCGGCUCAACCGUAAAAUUGCAAUUGAUACUGGCAGCCUUGAGUGCAGUUGAGGUAGGCGGAAUUCGUGGUGUAGCGGUGAAAUGCGUAGAUAUCACGAAGAACUCCGAUUGCGAAGGCAGCUUACUAAGCUGCAACUGACAUUGAUGCUCGAAAGUGUGGGUAUCAAACAGGAUUAGAUACCCGAGUAGUC